rnacentral:rRNA from 1 species
AUCUAUGGCCAUACCUCCCUGAUAUUGGAAGCUAAGUAGGGUUAGGCCGGGUAACUACUUCGAUGGAAAACUGCCUGGAAAUAUUGAGUUCAGUAGGCU